rnacentral:misc_RNA from 1 species
GAUGAAGAACGCAGUGAAAUGCGAUAAGUAAUGUGAAUUGCAGAAUUCAGUGAAUCAUCGAAUCUUUGAACGCACAUUGCGCCCGCCAGUAUUCUGGCGGGCAUGCCUGUUCGAGCGUCAUUACAACCCUCAGGCCCCCGGGCCUGGCGUUGGGGAACGGCGGAAGCCCCCUGCGGGCACAACGCCGUCCCCCAAAUACAGUGGCGGUCCCGCCGCAGCUUCCAUUGCGUAGUAGCUAACACCUCGCAACUGGAGAGCGGCGCGGCCACGCCGUAAAACACCCAACUUCUGAAUGUUGACCUCGAAUCAGGUAGGAAUACCCGCUGAACUUAAGCAUAUCAAUAAGCGGAGGA